GAAAGAUAAACUCACAGCGGCAGAACAAGCUGCAAAGAGCGCCGCCGAACAGGCUAAAGAUAAAGUACGACAACUUAAAACAUCAAUCGGCCUUAAAGGAACUGUUGGUCCAAAAGUUGAUCCUCUCGUAUCACAUCGCGGCAAAGGUGCUUUCACUUUGGAAGAGUUUCUGAACCGCGCUACAGAAUGGAGUGGCUUGCCUCUUGGCGAGGAAAAACCCAAGUCCAGUACAGCGCCUGAAGUUGAUGAGCUGGUGAAAGCUUCGGCAACUCCGGCUUCGAACCAGAAUAUCCCUGAAUUUCUCAAGAAAGCUGCUGCCUGGAGUGGACUGAAUCCUGAGACUUAUUUAGAAGCAGAGGCAGAAGGGAAGAAGAAUUCUCCUCCUCCAAAAGUUGCUGCUAAACCACCCAAACCUUUGCCUAAUGCUGCCAGGGCAGGUGAACAGGGGUUGCAAGUGGGUGAACAGGGGUCCAAGGAGGGUGUGGAAGGAUUAAAAGUUGGGGAAAAGGAAGCUGAAGUGAAUGUUGAUGAGAAGGUAGAGGGUAAUGAUGGAUCGCAGGUGGUGGGUGAUGUAUCUGAGGGGGUAACUGUGAGCAAUGAUGAUUCUCAAAUGAAGGAGGAAGGGGUUAAAGAGGAGUCUGAAAUUAAUAAUGAGGGAUCGCAGGUGGAGGUUGUGGAUAAUGGAGAAUUGCAGGCGGUCAUUGCUGAUAAAGAGGAAUCUAAGGUGGGGGUUGUUAAGGAACCUGAGGUAGCAGUUGUGGAUAGUGGUGGAUCGGAGGUGGCGGUUGUGGAUAAUGUUUCUGAUGUAGUGGAUAAUGAUGAAUCUGAAGUGAAGAAUGAACGUGUUGAAGGAGAGUCAAAUGGGAAUGUUGAGGAUUCUCAAGUGAUGCAAGGGGAAUGUCAAGGAAGUGAAGAGAGUAAGAAUGAAUAUGAAGUGGUAGAUGGAAAUGUCCAAGGAUCCCAGGUGAAGAAUGAAAGUUCUCAGGAAGGCGUUGGUGCCGAUUCUGUUGUAACCGAGAAGAAAUCUUCAGAUGCCGGACAGGAUGAGGAGAAGAAAUCUGAAGCUGAAGAAGAAAGGAAGGAAUCUGAUGUCGUGCCUGAGGCAGCAAACUCUGGUGAAGCUGGAGAGAAAAAUUCUGAAGUUGGGGAUGAGGGAGCAAAAGAAGCUGGAGUUGACGUGGCCAAAGAAUCACAGUCUGAUGAUACGUGCUCUGAGGUAAACAAAGAAGAAUCUAAGGAAAACAAAGAGGAAUCGGGAGUAAACGAAGAAGAAUCCCAGGAAAACAAAGAGAAACCUGGAGGAAACGAAGAAGAAUCCUACGAAAACAAAGAGGAAUCUGGAGUAAACGAAGAAGAAUGUGGAGUGAACGACGCUAAAACAGAAGUAAACCAUGGCGAACCGGACAAGAAGGAACCGGAAUUAAACAACGAGGCAACGAAAUCCAACAACAAUGGAACAGAAAUGAUUGACGAAAACAGCGGAAUGAAGGAAGAAGUCAGCCAUGAAAACAAUCAAGAAACCGAUGCCAAGAAUGGCGAGAGUCAAGAACCUGACACAAGUGUUAGCGAUGUUGAUUCACCUGCGAGCCAGGAUGCUACGGAAGAAAAGGACAUUAUUGUCGAAAACGGACACGUCGGACAGUCCUCUGAUGACACAGAGAACGCAAACGAACUUCCGAAUAACGGAGAUGUUAAACCUGAACCGUCUGAAAAAUGUGCAAACCCUAUUGAGAACCCCACUUCGGAAAAUGUGGAAGCAAUGAGCAGUUAAAUUUUCUUUCGAUUGCUUAGUGUGAACAAUAAAAGACUAAUAAAGGACAAUAUAAGGCAUACAAUUCGACCUUGAAUUAAAGCUGGUUUACAAAGUUCCUGCAACUAUCAAAGUUCCUAAGCUUUCUAAUAAAUGUUGUGGUCACAGACAUCGAUAUUUUAAACCAGUUUUAAAUCGUUGAGUUUUGAAUGUAAGAUACCAAGUAUUUAGGAACAAACGUAUAUAAAAACCAUCGGUGCAGUGCAUGAUGGGUUGGGUUCUGUUAAUAAUUUUGUAUAUGUAGUUUUAACAUGUCGUUAAAGUUAAUUUAGAAGUAAGACUAUAGGAGGUACAAAUCGUGUAUUUAUUUUACAAUAUUGUAAUUUAUUUGUUCGUGUUUUAGUAAAGAACAAAAAUAUAGUUGUAUUAAUGACACUUGUUGUAGUCGUAGUUGUUGAUUAUUUCCUAUUUUCAAAAUAAGCGUCCGUGUUGUACUAAAUUUAAAGCACGAGAAGGCUAGAAGUGCUUUAUCAUAUAUAAAAUACGAGUGCGCAGCACGAGGUGUUUUAUAUCUGUCAAAGUGUGGACUGCGAGUGUUUUAAAUGGCUUAAAAAACGACCUAUCUGAUGAGUUCAUUGGCGAAGUUAUUUUAAAAAUAAACAUUGUCUAAGCUAAAUGUUUAUGAGUUUAUCAGUAAAUUAACAUGAUCUACCGCCUUUGGAUCCUCUAACAUACGAUAGCCAGUGGCGUUCCCUGAC
rnacentral:lncRNA from 1 species